rnacentral:rRNA from 1 species
CCGGCGACCGGCGCACGGGUGAGUAACACGUAUGCAACCUGCCCUCUUCAGGGGGACAACCUUCCGAAAGGGAGGCUAAUCCCGCGUAUAUCGGUUUCGGGCAUCCGAGAUCGAGGAAAGAUUCAUCGGAAGAGGAUGGGCAUGCGGCGCAUUAGCUUGACGGCGGGGUAACGGCCCACCGUGGCGACGAUGCGUAGGGGUUCUGAGAGGAAGGCCCCCCACACUGGAACUGAGACACGGUCCAGACUCCUACGGAAGGCAGCAG